rnacentral:rRNA from 1 species
CACUCCUGACGGGAGGCAGCAGUGGGGAAUAUUGGACAAUGGGCGCAAGCCUGAUCCAGCCAUGCCGCGUGAGUGAUGAAGGCCCUAGGGUUGUAAAGCUCUUUCACCGGUGAAGAUAAUGACGGUAACCGGAGAAGAAGCCCCGGCUAACUUCGUGCCAGCAGCCGCGGUAAUACGAAGGGGGCUAGCGUUGUUCGGAUUUACUGGGCGUAAAGCGCACGUAGGCGGACUAUUAAGUCAGGGGUGAAAUCCCGGGGCUCAACCCCGGAACUGCCUUUGAUACUGGUAGUCUUGAGUUCGAGAGAGGUGAGUGGAAUUCCGAGUGUAGAGGUGAAAUUCGUAGAUAUUCGGAGGAACACCAGUGGCGAAGGCGGCUCACUGGCUCGAUACUGACGCUGAGGUGCGAAAGCGUGGGGAGCAAACAGGAUUAGAAACCCCUGUAGUCCCAUG